AUUAUUCACCCUUGUCUUUUGCGUACUUCUUGUUUCCUUGGUGGGUUCGCCCACCACUAGGACAAACAUAAACCUUUUGUAAUUGCAAUCAGCGUCAGUAACAAAUUAAUAAUUACAACUUUCAACAACGGAUCUCUUGGUUCUGGCAUCGAUGAAGAACGCAGCGAAAUGCGAUAAGUAGUGUGAAUUGCAGAAUUCAGUGAAUCAUCGAAUCUUUGAACGCACAUUGCGCCCUUUGGUAUUCCAAAGGGCAUGCCUGUUCGAGCGUCAUUUGUACCCUCAAGCUUUGCUUGGUGUUGGGCGUCUUGUCUCUAGCUUUGCUGGAGACUCGCCUUAAAGUAAUUGGCAGCCGGCCUACUGGUUUCGGAGCGCAGCACAAGUCGCACUCUCUAUCAGCAAAGGUCUAGCAUCCAUUAAGCCUUUUUUCAACUUUUGACCUCGGAUCAGGUAGGGAUA
rnacentral:rRNA from 2 species